rnacentral:rRNA from 1 species
UGAGGAAUUUUGCGCAAUGGCCGCAAGGCUGACGCAGCAACGCCGCGUGGGUGAUGAAGGCCUUCGGGUCGUAAAGCCCUGUCAGGUGGGAAGAAUGGCAUCAAGUCGAACAGGCUUGGUGUGUGACGGUACCACCAGAGGAAGCACCGGCUAACUCCGUGCCAGCAGCCGCGGUAAUACGGAGGGUGCGAGCGUUAUUCGGAAUUACUGGGCGUAAAGCGCGUGUAGGCGGCCUGACAAGUCUGAUGUGAAAGCCCUGGGCUUAACCUGGGAAGUGCAUUGGAAACUGUCAGGCUUGAGUACUGGAGAGGAUGGGGGAAUUCCCGGUGUAGAGGUGAAAUUCGUAGAGAUCGGGAGGAAUAUCAGUGGCGAAGGCGCCCAUCUGGACGGUUACUGACGC